GACGAACGCUGGCGGCGUGCCUAAUACAUGCAAGUCGAGCGAGCGGAACCAACAGAUUUACUUCGGUAAUGACGUUGGGAAAGCGAGCGGCGGAUGGGUGAGUAACACGUGGGGAACCUGCCCCUAAGUCUGGGAUACCAUUUGGAAACAGGUGCUAAUACCGGAUAAUAAAGCAGAUCGCAUGAUCAGCUUUUGAAAGGCGGCGUAAGCUGUCGCUAAGGGAUGGCCCCGCGGUGCAUUAGCUAGUUGGUAAGGUAACGGCUUACCAAGGCGACGAUGCAUAGCCGAGUUGAGAGACUGAUCGGCCACAUUGGGACUGAGACACGGCCCAAACUCCUACGGGAGGCAGCAGUAGGGAAUCUUCCACAAUGGACGCAAGUCUGAUGGAGCAACGCCGCGUGAGUGAAGAAGGUUUUCGGAUCGUAAAGCUCUGUUGUUGGUGAAGAAGGAUAGAGGUAGUAACUGGCCUUUAUUGACGGUAAUCAACCAGAAAGUCACGGCUAAC
rnacentral:rRNA from 1 species